CCGCCCUGAGUCCUGACACUGCUCCUCACUCGGCCCAGCCCAGCCGGCCAGGCCAGCAAGGGGGAGUCAGACUUCCCACAUCCUACCGGACACGGUGCCUGACCAUGGUGCUCUAACAUACUGGGACUAUGAAGGAUGGUCAAGAGAACUGCAGACUUGCCUACUGGGACCCUAUCAGACUGUGUGAUCAGCCACACCACAUCCCCACUUCCAUCUUUCUUGCUAGAAACUGCAUGCCAAUGUGACCUGCCACCCACUGUCCUCCUAUUGAAAACACACUAACAAGCUCUUCUUGAACAGGGUGGAAUCUUACAGCGUUCCCCUUUCUUCUUGAACACAUAUUUUCAGUGUUGAUAUGCCUUGAACAAUUGGUCCCACAGCUUUGGGUCCGCAGUGAAGCAUGCCUUAGUGAAAGCCCAGAACAGUGAAAAAUCUCCGGCUUCACCCAAGGACAAGACAGGAAGGGAGAAAGGAAGAGAGUGGGGGUGCCAUUAUUCCUUUCCAGGAAGAUCUGAAGACCCCUCAGUAAACUCCACCCCACAAUAGCAUCAAGUGUGGGAACAAGAUUUUCCAAGUGGAUCUUGGGGGGAUGCGAUGAUUGCUGUCACAUCCACUUGACACAACUCGGAGUCACUAGGGAGACAGCUGCUGGGAGGGGUUUCCUGGGCUCCGGGCGGGCCAUCAAGGGCUUAUCUUACCCAGGUUAAUUGUUGGAAGAAAACCCACUUAACCGGGGGGCAGGACCAUUUCCUGUGCAUGAGUCCUGGAUUGUACAAACUGGAGAAAGUGAUCUGAGUCCCUGCACUGCUCUUUCCUGGCUGUGGGUGUGACCUGAGAAGCUGCCUCAAGCUCUUGCUUCCAUUCCUUAUGAGUCCUGUUGUUCUGUACCCUUGAACUCCAAGUCAAAACAAAUCCUUUCUCCAUUCAGUUGUGUUCGCCGGGGUGUUCUAUCCCAGUUACAGGAAGAGAAACCAAGACGGGGAUAUCUGUAUAAACCACAGUGAACACUGGAGGAGCCUGGGACCAAAGAGAAAACUCAGAAGAAAGCAGGGCCCCUGAGCCUGAGUCAGGAGACUUUCUGGAAGGAGGAGGGAGCUCACAUUGUACAAUGCCUCUGCAAUAACUGAGGGAAGAUAUGCUUAUAGACCUUGGGAAAAAGAAGAGAACCAGGAAUAUGGCCAGUGAGCAUCAAGACAGGAGCAUGGACACCGCUGGGUCAUUCAUAGAAAUGGGAGGAAAUAGGCAAAGGCAGACUGGUGGUGUUGCCUCACUUCCCCAAGUGUAACCCCUGAGCCCCUGGUGAUCUGCUUCUGUGACCUGUGGAAUUUUCUGCCUAUUGUUUUAAUGCCUUGUGGACUAUAUAUUGUGUGACUUAUUGUUUAUUUUUUAUUUUUGGUACAACUGUUUGUCUGUUUGUUUAGUGUGUUUGUACCUGUGAAGACACAGCACUAUGCAUAUGCGGGCAGAGGCCAGCUUGCAAGAGUGGGUUCUCUUUUUCCAUCAUGUGGGUCCUGGUGUUAGAUCACUAGGAUUGGCACCUGUACUGUCCCUAUUGUGUGAUUUUUAAAAAAUAAUUUAAAAACAAGGUAAAGUUGCUCAUUUUUCUAGUAAGUUGUGGGACAGUCUUGGGUUUGCAGCUGGAGUUGUGUUUCCCCCAAGAGAAUUUUCUUGUCUUUCUGCAGCUCAUGUCAAGGCAGUGACAUCACCUUCACCCAGACAGCAGAGUCCCUGGAGGGCUGGCUUGUGGUUCAGUUCUCAGGGAAGAUUCCCCUCACGCCCACGAUCAAACCCAAACACAGGUGUUUCCUCGCCCUGCUUUGCACAGGAUUCCCAUUGGAAUCAUAUGGAUUAAAAAAACACCUUUAAAAAUGUCAGAAUAUGGGCCAGCGAGACAGCUCUUUGAGCAAAGGCACUUGCUGCCAAACCGGAUUACCCCAGUUUGAUCCCCAGGACCCACGUGGUGGGAAGGGAGAAAUGACUCCCACGAGUAGUCCUUUGACCUCCACGCGUCCUCUCUUCAUUAAAUAAAUCAAAAAGCUAUAUGGACUAAGAAUACAGAAUAAUUGUAGUAUGAUUUUCUUCUUGUGUAUAAGUUUCAAUUUUAGCCUCAAAGACCAAGACUAAGAUUAUCAGUGUCUAAGAAUGCCUGUGUGUGCAAGGCAUUGUGUCUUUAUGCAGGAAAUCCACUGUGGAGAACCGGAUCACGUGGUUAUAAGAGAUUCAAGAUCUUGGCUGACGUGCCGAGCCGGGAGAGCAUGAUACGUAGAUCUUUUUUAGGUCCAGUGGCCUGAGCACCGGGAGACCCCAUGGUACAAGCUCUAGACUGAAAGUCUGGAGACUUGAGACACACUGGGAGCACAGCUUCCGGGUGACUCCCCCAGCCAAACACAGCCACCCCCGCCCCCAGAACCUAGCCAGGCUUAGGUGAACUAACCUGCAGAUGUUGGCCGGAGCUCAUGAGUGAGAAGAGGUUUUGUUUUCAGUCACUGAUUUUUGGGUGGAGCUGUUGGUUGGUGAUAACUGACUUACUGAAUGUCAUACAGGAAGAUGUCUGGAUAACUUCUUAAUUUCUCUUGGCCGAAAGCCUGAGAAGUGAU